rnacentral:rRNA from 1 species
GACGGAGGGUGCAAGCGUUGUUCGGAAUUACUGGGCGUAAAGCGUACGUAGGCGGCGGGUUAAGUCGAAUGUUAAAGCCUGGAGCUCAACUCCAGAGAUGCAUUCGAUACUGGCUUGCUAGAGGUUGAUAGAGGAAAGCGGAAUUCCGAGUGUAGCGGUGAAAUGCGUAGAUAUUCGGAGGAACAUCAGUAGCGAAGGCGGCUUUCUGGGUCACACCUGACGCUGAGGUACGAAAGCGUGGGGAGCAAACGGGAUUAGAUACCCCGGUAGUCCACGCCGUAAACGAUGGAUACUAGGUGUAGCGGGUAUCGACCCCUGCUGUGCCGUAGCAAACGCGUUAAGUAUCCCGCCUGGGGAGUACGUUCGCAAGAAUGAA